UUUUGGUGUAAUGACCACUGUUAAGUCUCAUCCAUCUUUCCCUCACUGUCUACGACUGAGAUGUGGGAUUUAAUGUAUCAUUCCAUCUCUCAGUCCUUGGAAGACUAACAAUGGCCAUAUGUAAUUUGUCUUGGCCUUUUAUCUUACAUGUUGUACCUCUCCCCCUAUUAUAUAUGACUGAUAAUUUGAAAUAUUUGUUUGAAAUUGAGUUGCUUCCCCUUCUCAUUUGCUUAGGAAUGGACUAAAUUGAAAUCUACACAGUAUUCUCCCAAUUGUAAAAUAUGUUAACUAAAUCUUCUCAAGAACUUCUCAAUUUCUGAGCAAUUGAUUUAAAUAUUACAGUAUGUCUUACAUUAAGGAAAGUUUUUCUGAAAGAGUGAUUAUUUAUUGAGCAACUACAGUGGAUAGGCCCCAUAUCAGAGUCUUUGCAAAGCCCCCACUCCAGCUAAUUGCAGCAACUGAAAUGUACAGUUCUUACAAUAAAUAGCAAUAUCAAGUAAAUUAAGCAAACAGCAUAACCCUUUAAACUGUGUUUAAAAUAUCAAUUAGGGGCACCUGGGUGGCUCAGUCAGUUGAGUGUCCAGCUCUUGAUUUCUGCUCAGGUCAUGAUCUCACAGUCAUGGGAUCAAGCCCCAUGUCAGGCUCUACUCUGGGAGUGGAUACUGCUUGAGAUUCUCUCUCUCCUCCCUCUGCCCCUCCCCUGCUUGUGCACAUACACUCUUUCUUUUUAAAAAAACAAUGAAAAUGAUAAUAAAAUAUCUUCAAUUCUUUUAUGGUUUAGACUUUUUACCAACUAAUCAUAUAGAUAAUUAAAAAAAAAGAAGCUUACAUAAAUAUACAAAUGCAGUUUAUUAUACCUUUUGUGAUCUGUUUAGAAAAACUUUCCACUGUUGAACAGGGACUGUGCCUACAACAUAUUUAACAUUCAUAAGUUACUCUGCAUUGGUGGCCUUCCACCCAAGAAAUUAUUUCCAUCAAUUCAAAUGUGUAUCUAUUUUUUUAAAUUCAUUCAUGCAAUGUGAACCUAUUAUAUCUUGUUUAAUUGGUCAGAAAAGUCUUCUGUAUGUAUUGCCAAUCUUAACCUUGUAAUUUUUAAGAAUUUAAAUAUAAUUCCUUUAUUUGGUUCACUGAUAAAUUUGAUUAGCUGGGUGUAUAUGUUUAAAUAUACAAAUAUUUCAUAAUUCCUAGUUACCAAUUAUAAUAGUUACAUAAUACACCAUUUGAAAUUGAUACAACUAAACUUACAUACUCACCCAGACUUGCAUAUGCUAAACUUUCAUUUCCCAUCAACAUUUUGCUAUUUGUUUCCCUUCUCAGAAAAGGGAAUGAAAUUGAACUUUUUUAAGAAAGCAGGUGAAAAAUUGUAUGUAUUUAGAUCACAUCGAAUAAUAUAGGAAGACAGCCAAGACCCUUACAUUAUCCUUGAUCUCUUUUGAGUGUAAACACUAAAGGUGAAGUAUCAGUUUGGACACAGCCAUACACCAUCAAAAUGAUCCUUGUUUUCAUAUUUUGCUUUUGGGCAACGUUUACUUUCCACAAACAAGGAUCUUGUGAAUAUGUGAAAAUUCACCAUUUGUUGGGCACUACAUAAAGCUUAGAUUCAAAUUCUCAGAACCGUUACCGAAGAUGGGCUGAGCUUCUCAUAGACAGAUCUCAUGUGAGAACAAUCCAGUUCUGGAGCCACUGAGAUCCAGAUGUCCAACUGAACAGCUGCCAUCCUCUGUCUGCAGUAACCUUGGGAUCACUGACCAUGUGUUAUGCAUUUCUUAUCCUGACGCCCAUGAUUGAGGUCAGAUGUUCUCUACCCUUAAUUUUACCCUUUGGGACUCUGUAUUUCUCAGUGGGAUGUUCAGUCACAGACACUGGUACCACAGAGCAACUAGAGAAAAACUUUCCCAUGCAGUGUUCAUAUAAGUAGAUGUUCUGGCUAAAUUUCCAUUACCUUUAAAUAUUUAGUGUCUAUUUCUCUUCUCAGAGAGUGAUUACAAGUGAACCGGAAACAACAUAGGCAUAUAAAGGAGAGUAACUUAAUUAUCUUCCAGGGUCUGUAACCCCAGAGUUAUAUGUUGAGAGCGUGGAUGUGAAAGGAAUCUUGUUUGGUCCUUCUACAUGUGCAAUCAACACAUUUGAAACUUACCAGCUUUCCUAAUGUGGUAACUGAAGCUUAUCAGAGUAGCAACUACCUGAGUGAAAUCUAUGCUUAUUUUGAUACCGAUCUCAACACAACUUUAUACAAAUGUUUGAUCGAUUUUACAAAAGCAACAUCGUCUUUUACCAAACAGAGUAAUUACUUACCUUUUGCUGGUAGCAUCAUGACAGCUAAUUCCCACAUUACCCAUAACUUGCGUGAAGAGCCAUUAGGUAAUGUUUGGAAUCCAGGUAGGAUCUGGGAAGGUCAGACCAAAGUAAGUUAUCACCACUUUAGUAUUUGCAGUGCAUUUUUCAAAUUGCCAGCCAAAGGUCUAAUAUCCAAAACAAUGUGUGUAAUUUGGAACCAAGAUUCAGUUUUUAAUUGUUAUUUUGAUAACAUCAUAGAUUGAACAUCUCCCCAAUUCUUUAAAUCAGUGUGAAUCCAGAAUCAAUAUCUUUGAAAGCUAUAUAAAAAUUUGUCAUAUCAACCAUUGGUACCUAGAAAGCAUGUUUAUUUGAGGUAGUAUGUGUAGAUGCUAUCAAAAUAAUUAUAUUUUAAAUGUAAGAUGCUUCACUAGAGAAGAAGGCACUGUGUUUUACCUAGCAAGGGAGCUGACAUAUUGUAAGUGUUUAAAAUGCAUUCAGUAACUUGACUAACCACCCCACACUCUCAAUCAUUUUUCUCUGCAAUAAGCAAAGGUGUUUAUUAACAUCUUGAUAGCCAAAUUUGCAAUGUCUUUCAGCACUUAACAGACCAUUUCCCUGAUUGUAUUCAUGAAAAUUCAAUCACAGUGUUAUUCUUGGAAUUUCUGCCUAAGGGUUUAAACAAUGCCUCAGUACUCUGAAUGGCAAGGAUAUCACACUGAUCAGAUAACAUCCCUAUGUCACCAAUAUUAGUGACUAAUUUCCUACACAUGAAAUGUGCUGAUUUUCCCAUACCGGAUAUCAGUAAAAUAUCUGUGUUAUCAUGGCAUACACCAUCUCCCUUGUGUUUGUGUAAGUGUGCUUUGAGGCCUGAGUAUGUGUUGGCCAUCAUAUUUGUGGAUUUUUAUAGAGAUUCCUGUCAUCACCACGUGUUUCACCAGGACUUUUCCACCAGAUGGUUUAUAUGGAACAAAAUCCCUGAGAUUGCAAUGUUGGUCCCUUAAAUCCCAAAUUGAUUUUGCAACAUAGUAUUUUAUUAACAUCAAUUGCUCCAUCAUUGUUGACUUCAAUAUUAUCUUCCGGAAGCUGUGCUUCACCCGCUAUACGUUAGAGCAAGUAAAUUUUUGCUGGGCCUUCUAGGCCUUACAAUAUCCAGCCAACUUGUGGCUUCUUGUGGUUUUGUUGCCUAUUCGGUCUCAAAAGCAUUCCUUUAUUUCUGGACAUUUGGCUUGAGAAAUUUGCUUAGUUUGUAUGCCAAUUUCUUGUCAGUUGGCAAUUUAUUUGCUGACUUGGGCUAAGUAUCUGCUAUAAAAUCACUUAGAAUUGUGUACUUCCAUCCUUCUUUGUCUUUACUUUUAGUACUUCCCUCCUUUGCACACUGCCAUUGCCAUCCUUGCUCCCAAAAUGAUGUUUGGCACAUUUGGAAGUUUAGGUAGAAAAGUUUGCGAUUCCCCAGGUCUGGUAUCUUCGGCUGUUUUGUGAUGUUUGUAAUAACGCAAUGUUUCUGAGGCAGCGGAUAAUGUGCUUUUCACAUUAUAACUGUCUUCUGUAACUCACAUUGACAAGACUUCCCAGGGUCCAUGAUAUGGCUUUGUCCUAUGCUAUAGCUAGAUGGUCCAGGUUUGUUUUUUUUAAGUAUAGGUCCAUCAUGCUGCCUCACACUUGGCAGUCUGAUAAUAGAGAGUGCUAUUAACGAUGAACUUCUGGUGUUCACUGUGAAAGAAACUGUAAGCCUUUGGACUUCGCAUUACUGAUGAUACAACUAAGAAAGUGCAUACCGGGGCACCUGGGUGGCUCAGUCGGUUAAGCAUCCGACUUCGGCUCAGGUCAUGAUCUCAAGGUUUGUAAGUUUGAGCCCCGAGUCGGGCUCUGUGCUGACAGCUCAGAGCCUGGAGUCUGCUUUGGAUUCUGUGUCUCCCUCUCUCUCUGCCCCUCCCCUGCUCAUGCUCUGUCUCUCUCUGUCAAAAAAUAAAUAAAUGGUAAAAAAAAAAAAAAAAAGAUGAAAAAAAAAGUGCAUACCAUGCUUUUCGUGGUUGGAAACAACACAAACAUUGGAAUAGUCAAGAUCCAUCUCCUACCUCAAUUGGUCAUCAGUACUAGCUGACAUAACAUCAGUGACUGUUGUCAUAAAGUCAUAUUAUAUACUGAGCGUAUGAAGAGGCACCACUAAUCCAUGACUAUCAAGAACUCAGUGCUGUAAUUAGUACCACAAAAUAUGUAAGGAAAGAAGGAUUCCUGCUAUUAUUGUUAUUUGAUACUCUUAAGUAUUUGGUGAAGGAAUGCAAUCUAACAACAACAAAAAGUUUAAAGGUCCCUUUAAUUCCUCUCUGCAUGAAGAAAAACAACACUUUCUCUUUAAAAGUCUGUUCCCACCCAGACAAUAUUUAAAUUUUGUUCUCAUUUUGACAGCAUACAACAAUACCAGAAUUUGGGUUGUUUUAAAAAUAGAAGUUCCUAGAGAUAAACUCUGUUUUCCACUAGAGAAUAUUAUUAUUUAUUGUAUCUUCCCAAAGAAUUUUAAGAAUCACUUUAAUAUUCUUUUUAGGUUCAGAUGCUAAAGUAGGAAUUGGAAUAUUUAAAAUGAACUAGAAUUCACAUGCAUCUAAAUGGAUGGAUUUAAAACUGUGGUGUCCCAGUUGGCUAUUCUUCAUGCUGUAGGGGAGAAAUGUGGGGUCCACAGGAAUCCCAGCUGCUUAUGCUGCUAAUUGCCUGUGAGACACUGAGCCUGUCACUCCACCUGAAGUAUCUUAGCUGUUAACCAAGGAAGUUGAACCAAAUGGUCUUCUAAGUGGCUUUCCAUCUCUGCUAAUGCUUGAGUCUACUACUGACAUGUACAAUGGCCUUCUUCACAGGAUUAAAAAUGGACAGUUGAGGGGCACCUGGGUGACUCAGUUAAGUGUCCGACUCUUGAUGUCCACUCAGGUCAUGAUUUCGUGGAUUAUGAGUUUGAGCCCCACAUCAGGCUCUGUGCUGAUGGUGUGGAGCCUCUUUGGGAUUUUCUCUCUCCCUCUCUCUCUUUCCCUUCCCUGCUUGUGCACCCUCUCUCAAAAAAUUUAUAAACUUUAAAAAGUGGACAGUAUGUAGUCUGAAUAUCUACCUCAAAGCUGAUUCUAAAACAUAUCAAACCAUACUGGAAUUAUAAACCUGUUUUGUCAAUGAUUUAUUCAAUAAAUAAAAUCACUUUCCUUGCA